UGAUGGGCGUCGACCGGCGCACGGGUGAGUAACGCGUAUCCAACCUGCCCACCACUUGGGGAUAACCUUGCGAAAGUAAGACUAAUACCCAAUGAUAUCUCUAGAAGACAUCUGAAAGAGAUUAAAGAUUUACCGGUGAUGGAUGGGGAUGCGUCUGAUUAGCUUGUUGGCGGGGUAACGGCCCACCAAGGCUACGAUCAGUAGGGGUUCUGAGAGGAAGGUCCCCCACAUUGGAACUGAGACACGGUCCAAACUCCUACGGGAGGCAGCAGUGAGGAAUAUUGGUCAAUGGACGAGAGUCUGAACCAGCCAAGUAGCGUGCAGGAUGACGGCCCUAUGGGUUGUAAACUGCUUUUAUAAGGGAAUAAAGUGAGUCUCGUGAGGCUUUUUGCAUGUACCUUAUGAAUAAGGACCGGCUAAUUCCGUGCCAGCAGCCGCGGUAAUACGGAAGGUCCGGGCGUUGUCCGGAUUUAUUGGGUUUAAAGGGAGCGUAGGCCGGAGAUUAAGCGUGUUGUGAAAUGUAGACGCUCAACGUCUGCACUGCAGCGCGAACUGGUUUCCUUGAGUACGCACAAAGUGGGCGGAAUUCGUGGUGUAGCGGUGAAAUGCUUAGAUAUCACGAAGAACUCCGAUUGCGAAGGCAGCUCACUGGAGCGCAACUGACGCUGAAGCUCGAAAGUGCGGGUAUCGAACAGGAUUAGAUACCCUGGUAGUCCGCACGGUAAACGAUGGAUGCCCGCUGUUGGUCUGAAAUAGGU
rnacentral:rRNA from 2 species